rnacentral:tRNA from 1 species
UCCCUGAUGGCUUAGAUGGUAAAGAAUCCACCUGUGAUGUAGGAGACCCAGGUUCAAUCCCUGGGUUGGGAA